rnacentral:rRNA from 1 species
UACGGCGGGAGCUAGCGUUGUUCGGAAUUACUGGGCGUAAAGCGCGCGUAGGCGGCUUUGUAAGUUAGAGGUGAAAGCCCGGGGCUCAACUCCGGAAUUGCCUUUAAGACUGCAUCGCUAGAAUUGUGGAGAGGUAAGUGGAAUUCCGAGUGUAGAGGUGAAAUUCGUAGAUAUUCGGAAGAACACCAGUGGCGAAGGCGACUUACUGGACACAUAUUGACGCUGAGGUGCGAAAGCGUGGGGAGCAAACAGG